GACGAACGCUGGCGGCGUGCCUAAUACAUGCAAGUAGAACGCACAGUUUAUACCGUAGCUUGCUACACCAUAGACUGUGGGUUGCGAACGGGUGAGUAACGCGUAGGUAACCUGCCUGGUAGCGGGGGAUAACUAUUGGAAACGAUAGCUAAUACCGCAUAAUAUUAAUUAUUGCAUGAUAAUUAAUUGAAAGGUGCAAUUGCACCACUACCAGAUGGACCUGCGUUGUAUUAGCUAGUAGGUGAGGUAACGGCUCACCUAGGCGACGAUACAUAGCCGACCUGAGAGGGUGAUCGGCCACACUGGGACUGAGACACGGCCCAGACUCCUACGGGAGGCAGCAGUAGGGAAUCUUCGGCAAUGGACGAAAGUCUGACCGAGCAACGCCGCGUGAGUGAAGAAGGUUUUCGGAUCGUAAAGCUCUGUUGUAAGAGAAGAACGGGUGUGAGAGUGGAAAGUUCACACUGUGACGGUAUCUUACCAGAAAGGGACGGCUAACUACGUG
rnacentral:rRNA from 1 species